GGAUCCGUGGUGUAGUGGUUAUCACGUCCGCCUUACAAUUUAAUUCUAUUCUACAAAAAAAUAGUAUCGAUUCUAUCGCGGCAGGUCCCCGGUUCGACCCCGGGCGGAUUCA